CCUACGGGAGGCAGCAGUGGGGAAUAUUGGACAAUGGGGGGAACCCUGAUCCAGCGACGCCGCGUGAGUGAAGGAGUAUUUCGGUAUGUAAAGCCCUAUCAGCAGGGAAGAACAAUGACGGUACCUGACUAAGAAGCACCGGCUAAAUACGUGCCAGCAGCCGCGGUAAUACGUAUGGUGCAAGCGUUAUCCGGAUUUACUGGGUGUAAAGGGAGCGCAGGCGGCGCGUUAAGCCUGGUGUGAAAGUCCGCGGCCCAACCGCGGGACUGCAUUGGGAACUGGCGCGCUGGAGUGCCGGAGGGGUAGGCGGAAUGCCUAGUGUAGCGGUGAAAUGCGUAGAUAUUAGGAGGAACACCAGUGGCGAAGGCGGCCUACUGGACGGUGACUGACGCUGAGGCUCGAAAGCGUGGGGAGCAAACAGGAUUAGAUACCCGUGUAGUC
rnacentral:rRNA from 1 species